rnacentral:rRNA from 1 species
GGGGAAUUUUCCUGCAAUGGGCGAAAGCUUGACGGAGCAAUGUCGCGUGGAGGAAGAAGGCUCGUGGGUUGUAAACUCCUUUUGUCAAAUGACGAAGCAUUGACGGUAUUUGACGAAUAAGCAUCGGCUAACUCCGUGCCAGCAGCCGCGGNUAAUACGGAGGAUGCAAGCGUUAUCCGGUAAUGAUUGGGCGUAAAGGGUCUUGAGGUGGCUAGUCAAGUCUACUGUGAAAGAUCGGGGCUUAACCCCGAAGAAGCGGUGGAAACUAACAAGCUUGAGUACGGUAGGGGCGGAGGGAAUUCUCUAUGGAGCGGUGAAAUGCAUAGAUAUAGGGAAGAACACCAACGGCGAAAGCACUCCGCUGGGCCGAUACUGACACUAACAGACGAGAGCUAGGGGAGCGAAUGGGAUUAGAUACCCCAGUAGUC